rnacentral:misc_RNA from 1 species
GAUGAAGAACGCAGCGAAAUGCGAUACGUAAUGUGAAUUGCAGAAUUCAGUGAAUCAUUGAGUCUUUGAACGCACAUUGCGCCCUCUGGUAUUCCGGAGGGCAUGCCUGUCCGAGCGUCAUUGCUGCCCUCAAGCACGGCUUGUGUGUUGGGCCCCGCCCCCCGAUCCCGGGGGGCGGGCCCGAAAGGCAGCGGCGGCACCGCGUCCGGUCCUCGAGCGUAUGGGGCUUUGUCACCCGCUCUGUAGGCCCGGCCGGCGCCUGCCGAUCAACCAAACUUUUUUCCAGGUUGACCUCGGAUCAGGUAGGGAUACCCGCUGAACUUAAGCAUAUCAAUAAGCGGAGGA